GGUUCCAUAGUGUAGUGGUUAUCACAUCUGCUUUACAUGCAAAUGGUCCUGGGUUCAAGCACUUCCCAGUGGAAUCA